AGUGGCGUACGGGUGAGUAACGCGUGGGUUAUCUACCUCUGGGUGGGGAAUAACUCGGGGAAACCCGAGCUAAUACCGCAUAAUACGUUUACGUUAAAGCAGCAAUGCGCCUGGAGAUGAGCCUGCGUCCGAUUAGCUAGUUGGCGGGGUAAUGGCCCACCAAGGCGACGAUCGGUAGCCGGCCUGAGAGGGCGGUCGGCCACACUGGCACUGAAAUACGGGCCAGACUCCUACGGGAGGCAGUAGUGAGGAAUUUUGGGCAAUGGGCGAAAGCCUGACCCAGCAAUGCCGCGUGAACGAUGAAGUCCUUCGGGAUGUAAAGUUCGUAAGCAGGAGAAGAACACCCUGACGGUAUCCUGUGUAAGCCCCGGCUAACUACGUGCCAGCAGCCGCGGUAAUACGUAGGGGGCAAGCGUUGUUCGGGUUUACUGGGCGUAAAGGGCGCGUAGGCGGCGCGUAAAGUCGGACAUGAAAUCAUUGGGCUUAACCCAAUGGCUGUGCCCGAUACUUGCGUGCUAGAGUGCGGGAGAGGCAAUCGGAAUCUCGGUGUAGCGGUGAAAUGCGUAGAUAUCGAGAGGAACUCCAGUGACGAAGGUGGGUUGCUGGACCGACACUGACGCUGAGGCGCGAAAGCUAGGGGAGCAAACGGGAUUAGAUACCCCGGUAGUCCUAGCCGUAAACGAUGGACACUAGGUGUUGCCCGUAUCGACCCGGGCAGUGCCGUAGCUAACGCGUUAAGUGUCCCGCCUGGGGAGUACGCACGCAAGUGUGAAACUCAAAGGAAUUGACGGGGGCCCGCACAAGCGGUGGAGUAUGUGGUUUAAUUCGAUGCAACGCGAAGAACCUUACCAGGGCUUGACAUGUCGCGAAUCCCUUGAAAGGGGGGAGUGCCUUCGGGAGCGCGAGCACAGGUGGUGCAUGGCUGUCGUCAGCUCGUGUCGUGAGAUGUUGGGUUAAGUCCCGCAACGAGCGCAACCCACAUUCUCAGUUGCCAUCAUUCGGUUGGGCACUCUGGGGAAACUGCCGGUGAUAAGCCGGAGGAAGGUGUGGAUGACGUCAAGUCCUCAUGGCCCUUACGGGUUGGGCUACACACGUGCUACAAUGGUGGUGACAAUGGGUUAAUCCCCAAAAGCCAUCUCAGUUCGGAUUGGGGUCUGCAACUCGACCCCAUGAAGUCGGAAUCGCUAGUAAUCGCGUAACAGCAUGACGCGGUGAAUACGUUCCCGGGCCUUGUACACACCGCCCGUCACACCAUGGGAAUUGGGUCUACCCGACGAC
rnacentral:rRNA from 1 species